ACUGGAUAAUGGCUUUUUGAAAU
rnacentral:piRNA from 1 species